CCCCUAGUAACUGCGAGUGAAGCGGGAAAAGCUCAAAUUUAAAAUCUGGCGGUUUCACCGUCCGAGUUGUAAUUUAGAGAAGUGCUAUCCGCGCUGGACCGUGUACAAGUCUCCUGGAAUGGAGCGUCAUAGAGGGUGAGAAUCCCGUCUUUGACACGGACUGCCAGGGCAUUGUGAUGCGCUCUCAAAGAGUCGAGUUGUUUGGGAUUGCAGCUCAAAAUGGGUGGUAAAUUCCAUCUAAAGCUAAAUAUUGGGGAGAGACCGAUAGCGAACAAGUACCGUGAGGGAAAGAUGAAAAGAACUUUGGAAAGAGAGUUAAACAGUACGUGAAAUUGCUGAAAGGGAAACGCUUGAAGUCAGUCGCGUUGUUCGGGAUUCAGCUUUAGCUUCUGCUAGGUGGAUUUCCUGUUCGACGGGUCAGCAUCAGUUUUGGCCGGUGGAUAAAGGUUCAGAGAAUGUGGCAUCCUCGGAUGUGUUAUAGCUCUGGGUCGCAUACAUCGGCUGGGACUGAGGAACUCAGCACGCCGCAAGGCCAGGUUCGACC
rnacentral:rRNA from 1 species